ensembl:lncRNA
GCUGUUUCUCAAAGAGUAAAUUCUGAAUAGCUCUUAAUAUUGAUGUAUUUGCCAUUCCUGUCCCUUUCAGGUGACCUCUCCUCUUACCCAGCUCUCCUUGCAACCUUCUCCUCCUCUCCCUUCCACGGUCCGCAUUAAAGAGGAGCCCGGCAGCCGGACGUCUCCAUCCUCCUGCUGUCUGGUGUCCCAGUCUGCGGCACCCCUUAUAGACAAGGACCAGAUGCUGCAGGAGAAGGACCGGCGCAUUCAGGAGCUCACACGCAUGCUGCUGCAGAAACAGCAGCUGGUCGAAUCUCUGCGCUCGCAGCUGAAGGGCAAGCGUGUGGGCGCGCCGGUCCGAGUGAAAGAGGACCUUCCUGGUGUCACUAUGGAGCUGAUCAGAGCGACCGUUAAGGAAGAGGUCAUAGAGGUGAUGGAAGACAGCGAGAUGGUGACAGAGCCGCAGGUGUUCCCGCAGGCAGGGCAGAUGCAGCAGCAAAGGACGGUGACUGCAAUAGAGCUGGAGCAGGACCAGCAGCAGCUUAUAAUGCAACAGAAUCGGCGCAACCUGCAGCAACAAGUACAUCAGAGGAAGAGGAAAACACAAAAACAACAGCACAACCAACAAAAACAACAGUUGCCUCAAGCACUUACCAACCAGCAGGCAAGUCCUGUUUCUUCAUUCCCAGUGGAUGUACUGGACUCGAACUCCACCCCCACCAUAGUGACCGACAGCAAUGGCAACCAGUUCCUGCUAACACUGUCGAAUCAAAACACAGAGACACGGGCCAGAGGCCGCCGCGCCCAGAACAAAAGACUACAGUCUACACCCACCAUGUUUACCAACCAAUCCGUGACUGAAUUCCUUAACAAAAACAACCAAUCAGAACAGCCCAUACAAACCGUCAUUUUGAAACAGCCAAUCAAAAAGGCACUAAAGCCAGACCUAAAUGUGACGACCAAUUACAAAGCAUCAAGCUGCACAUCCAUCUCAUCACCAGCCAACAUCCAACCGUUCCUCUCUCCAGUGGAUUCCAUGAACGACACUGAACCCGUCCCCUCAUCUCCCAACAACAACAACGUAAGUGUCUGGUUUGUGUACAUGCUAAAGAUCUGUUCCAAAACCUGGUGUGCUAGACAU